GAUGAGCAGACAAUGUGAGAUAAUAAAGAGAAAAAUAAGAUCAGAUGAGCAAGACACUUAAUGUAGCAUCACUCUUAGCACUGCAGACUAUCGCCAGAGAGAUAGAAGAUGUAUUUUGCUGCUUUUUCUUCUUUUAUUUUUCCUUCAUCACUGUAUGGGAACUGCUGAGUCAGGGCCUGAAGCAGUGAUGGAGCACCUGGGGAAAGGACCCGGUCAGCCCUGGGAGCACAGGUGAAGGCAAUGCAGCUGUGUGAUAGGAAGGGGUGUAGCCUGGCUGCACCUCUCUUAGACCUUAUUUAAGGGCUGACUGCCCCUGAGGAAGGGUCUCUGGUUGGAGGUCCCUCCUUGGGGAGCUUUCCCUGUGAACCUGGAAUCUUCUGAUACAGGCAUAUGGCCUGAGAGAUUCUUGGCAUGGAGUGGGUAACUCUGAGACCUCCUAAUCCAACAUUUGCCAGCUGCACGGCAGGGUGAUGCAAUUCUGGAGCAGCUUGCUGUUUUGCAGAGCGUAAAGAGGUGGGAGAUCCGCAGUCUAUUCACCUGUUUCUCACACGGAUGUCAUUUCAUACCCUUCAUCAUCUCCCCUGCCCGGUUCUGUUUUCUUCCCAGUUUUACAACAGCCUUUCUGAGAUGGGGAGAUCAGGAUUGCAGAGAACAUUCAAGAAGUGAAUACGCUGUGGGUUUACACAGCAGCACAGAGCAUUCUUCAGUGACUGUCGUGAGGAAGGAAACCCACCCUGGGAGUUCAGCUCUUCUGCUCUGCUCAGGGCAAUGCAAUGAUUAGCCAAGGGUAUUGCAUCUGCGUAUUUAUUAGCGUCAUGUUGACUGGAGGAAGAUUCAUGUGAUGAUUUAUAAGAUAGAUAUCUAUAAUACUAAGGGCUAUCAAACAUCAGGCUGUUGAGUAUGUGCUAUUAAACUGCAUUCCCUUCUGCCUUAUUAUCCUACCCAUUUUAAGCAGCAUGGCUGUGAU
ensembl:lncRNA